UACGAAGGGGGGCUAGCGUUGCUCGGAAUCACUGGGCGUAAAGCGCACGUAGGCGGAUUGCUAAGUCAGGGGUGAAAUCCUGGAGCUCAACUCCAGAACUGCCCUUGAUACUGGCGGUCUCGAGUCCGGGAGAGGUGAGUGGAACUGCGAGUGUAGAGGUGAAAUUCGUAGAUAUUCGCAAGAACACCGGUGGCGAAGGCGGGUCUCUGGGCAACAACUGACGCUGAGGAGCGAAAGCGUGGGGAGCGAACAGG
rnacentral:rRNA from 1 species